CCCUUAGAUGUUCUGGGCCGCACGCGCGCUACACUGACGAAUGCAACGAGCUUAUAACCUUGGCCGAAAGGUCUGGGUAAUCUCCAAAUUUCGUCGUGAUGGGGAUAGAUUAUAGCAAUUAUUAAUCUUCAACGAGGAAUGCCUAGUAAGCGCAAGUCAUCAGCUUGCGUUGAUUACGUCCCUGCCCUUUGUACACACCGCCCGUCGCUCCUACCGAUUGAAUGGUCCGGUGAAGCGUUCGGACCGUGGCCUUUGGACGGUUCGCCGUCUGUUGGCUGCGGGAAGUUCGUUAAACCUUAUCAUUUAGAGGAAGGAGAANUCGUAACA
rnacentral:rRNA from 1 species